AAAUUGAAGAGUUUGAUCAUGGCUCAGAUUGAACGCUGGCGGCAGGCCUAACACAUGCAAGUCGAACGGUAGCACAGAGAGCUUGCUCUCGGGUGACGAGUGGCGGACGGGUGAGUAAUGUCUGGGAAACUGCCCGAUGGAGGGGGAUAACUACUGGAAACGGUAGCUAAUACCGCAUAACGUCGCAAGACCAAAGUGGGGGACCUUCGGGCCUCACACCAUCGGAUGUGCCCAGAUGGGAUUAGCUAGUAGGUGGGGUAACGGCUCACCUAGGCGACGAUCCCUAGCUGGUCUGAGAGGAUGACCAGCCACACUGGAACUGAGACACGGUCCAGACUCCUACGGGAGGCAGCAGUGGGGAAUAUUGCACAAUGGGCGCAAGCCUGAUGCAGCCAUGCCGCGUGUAUGAAGAAGGCCUUCGGGUUGUAAAGUACUUUCAGCGAGGAGGAAGGCGUUGUGGUUAAUAACCACAGCGAUUGACGUUACUCGCAGAAGAAGCACCGGCUAACUCCGUGCCAGCAGCCGCGGUAAUACGGAGGGUGCAAGCGUUAAUCGGAAUUACUGGGCGUAA
rnacentral:rRNA from 1 species